rnacentral:rRNA from 1 species
AGUCUGGUGCCAGCAGCCGCGGUAAUUCCAGCUCCAAUAGGAUAUAUCAAAGUUGUUGCAGUGGAAAAGCUCGUAGUCGUAUUUCUGGUGGGUUGAUGUCUUUGUCGGUGUGGGACUCAAGUUCCUGUCGAUCGAGGGCCGCCUGCCAUUUUGUGGAAUCAAGUGGUCAUGUCGGGGUUUACUCACCGAUAUGAUCGCUCCACUCCGUCACUGAGAGCAAAUUGGAGUGCUCAAAGCAGGCUUUACAGCUUUGAACAUUUUAGCUUGGAAUGACAAAGAGUGACUUUUUGUUCACUUUGUUAGUUAUGAAUAGGAAGUAAUGAUAAAUAGGAACAGUUGCGGGGGUACUCGUAUUGGGAAGUCAGAGGUGAAAUUCUUAGAUUUUUCCACGACGAACGACUGCGAAAGCAUUUACCAAGGAUGUUUUCAUUGAUCAAGAACGAAAGUGCGAGGAUCGAAGAUGAUUAGAUACCAUCGUAGUUCGCACAGUAAACGAUGCCGACUCGGGAUUGAGUUCUCUUCGUUACAUAGAAGGAUCUCAGCACCGUAUGUGAAAACAAAGUCUUUGGGUUCCGGGGGGAGUAUGGUCGCAAGGUUGAAACUUAAAGGAAUUGACGGAAGGGCACACCAGAGGUGGAGCCUGCGGUUUAAUUUGACCCAACACGGGGAAACUCACCAGGUCCAGACAUGAGAAGGAUUGACAGUUUGAAAGCACUUUCUUGAUUUCAUGGGUGGUGGUGCAUGGCCGUUCUUAGUUGGUGGAGUGAUUUGUCUGGUUGAUUCCGAUAACGAACGAGACUCUCAGAGUAAACUGGCUUAGGUCGUAAUCCACGUUACUUCCGGCCUCUUUUCUCGACAAUUCGUUUUAAACGAAAGGAAGCGGAGAGCAAUAACAGGUCUGUGAUGCCCCUCGAUGUUCUGGGCCACACGCGCGCUACAAUGACGAAUUCAACGAGCUUUUUUCUCCUUGCCCGGAAGGGUGUGGGUAAUCUUUUCAAUGUUCGUCGUGAUGGGGCUAGAUUUUUGCAAUUAUUAAUCUUCAACGAGGAAUCUCUAGUAUGUGCAGUUCAUCAGACUGCGCAGAAUGCGUCCCUGCCCUUUGUACACACCGCCCGUCGCACCUACCGAUUGGACGAUCCGGCAAGAUGUUCGGAGUUGCGUUUGUUGGGCUCUCGGGUCUGACUUAUGCGGCAAAGCUCCUCAAACCUUAUCGUCUAGAGGAAGGUGAAGUCGUAACAAGGUU